UUUAAUAGUUUAAAUAAGGGUUUCAGUCAUUAUUUUGGCGUUAAUAGCGAAAAUGAUUGGUUGGAUUAAAACGGGAAAGAGGUGAAAAACCUCUGCGGUCCCGCCGCCGUAAGGUUUAAAGAGUAAUCAAAAUUGCCACUGGGAAACUGGGAAGGCUGUUUUUUAAUUGAACCGAGCCGGAAGACCUGCCUUUAUUUAUAAACACCA
rnacentral:ncRNA from 2 species